GUAGGGGGCAAGCGUUAUCCGGAUUUACUGGGUGUAAAGGGAGCGUAGACGGCCAGACAAGUCAGAAGUGAAAGCCCAGGGCUCAACCCUGGGACUGCUUUUGAAACUGCCGGGCUGGAGUGCAGGAGAGGUAAGCGGAAUUCCUAGUGUAGCGGUGAAAUGCGUAGAUAUUAGGAGGAACACCAGUGGCGAAGGCGGCUUACUGGACUGUAACUGACGUUGAGGCUCGAAAGCGUGGGGAGCAAA
rnacentral:rRNA from 1 species